rnacentral:lncRNA from 1 species
GGGGACCAGGGCACUCGUGCCAAGUGACUGGUGCUCGCUUCAGGCUCCUGCUACCUUCUGCGGGCGGAAAGUGGGUGUCCCGGGAAGGGACGGACCCCAUCUCUACUAUGCCGCAAGCGCGUUGUGUCAACAGGCUGGCUGUGGACGGCCCGAUGAGCGUGACUUGAUUUUGUACUUUCUGCCACCUCCAAUUUUCUCAGAACGCAACAUAAGAAAAAGAACUAACAGCGGUGUGUACAGGAUUGCUUCGAAGAUAUGGGUGCUGAUGUUUGGUCAUUGCUAUGGGGGAGGUCGCAGAGCUGAGAGUUUCGGAGGACGCUUUCUGUCUUGUCUAGGAUUCUGGAAUAGAACCUGGGUUCCCACGCUUGUGCAGCCAUCUCCCCAGCCCCCGUUAAUACUGUGCCUGAAGUAGCUGCUCUUCUGAAGUCAGCUCUGCCUUCUACUUGACACGCCUUCCCUUACUUACUUCUCACUUCAUUUUCUGACUGCAUUUGCCUCAAUUCAGUGUUGAUAUUUUAAAAUUGAGAUCUGUUAUUAUUUUGUCAUGUAGCCCAGGCUGGCCAAGGUCUUGCCUCCCUUUAAGCUUAUUUUAGGAAAAUUAUGCUUACUUGUGGAGUGCUUGUGACAGUGUCACCCAUAUACACACACGGUAUGACAUUAGAUUAUGCUAAGCCUGUCAUCUCUAGAAAUUCUUAGUUGUGAAACUCAGA